rnacentral:rRNA from 1 species
GACGAACGCUGGCGGCGUGCCUAAUACAUGCAAGUCGAACGCAGUGGGGACGGGUGAGUAACACGUGGGUAACCUCCCAUCAGAGGGGAUAACACUUGGAAACAGGUGCUAAACCGAUACUGAUGGAUGAACCCGCGGGGCAUUAGCUAGGUGGUGAGGUAACGGCUCACCAAGGCCACGAUGCAUAGCCUACCUGAGAGGGUGAUCGUGCACACCGGGACUGAGAAACGGCCCAGACUCCUUCGGGAGGCAGCAGUAGGGAAGCUUCGGCAAUGGACGAAAGUCUGACCGAGCAACGCCGGGGGAGUGAAGAAGGUUUUUGGAUCGUAAAGCUCUGUUGUUAGAGAAGCGUUAACUAACCAGAAAGGGACGGCUAACUACGUGCCAGCAGCCGCGGUAAUAC